rnacentral:snRNA from 1 species
AGAUGUAAGGGGGAUGUGGCUGAGAUGUCUGUCACCUCCUUUGAUCGCCAGGGUUGACUUGGCUGACCCGGCUGGCUAAGCGAGUGUCCUCUUCCUCCCUCACUGCCCCGUGGGUGUCCCUCCCCUAAGAUGUGUGCUCUGUCUAAGUAGGAAACCCUUCCCUGUAAAAGAGACCGACUGGUCCUUCCUGCGAGAAUAUACCAAGUAGAUGUAAAUCGCCUGCUAGACCAUCCAGACCAGCUCUAAUGUUUAACAUGAAUAAGAUGGCGAAUGGCCCCAACCAUUACUCACUCACUGUGAUCCCUCGUAAUUUAAGCUUGACCUACGGU